rnacentral:lncRNA from 1 species
ACUGCAACCUCCGCCUCCCAGUUUCAAGCAAUUCUCCUGCCUCAGCCUCCUGAGUAGCUGGAAUUACAGGCAUGCACCACCACACCUGGCUAAUUUUGUAUUUUUACUACAGACGGGGUUUCUCCAUGUUGAGGCUGGUCUCGAACUCCUGACCUCAGGUGAUCUGCCUGCCUCAGCCUCCCAAAGUGCUGGGAUUACAGGCGUGAACCACCGCGCCCGGCCUAGGAUUUCCUCCUUUGACGAUGAAUAGUUCUCCACUGUAGUCCGGCUCUGUCAUCCAGGCUGGAGUGCGAUGGUGCCAUCUCGGCUCACUGCAACCUCCGACGCCCAGGUUCAAGCGAUUCUCCUGCCUCAGCCUCCCGAGUAGCUGGAACUGCAGGUGUGUGCCACCAGGCCCGGCUAAUUUUUUGUAUUUUUAGUAGAGAUGGGGUUUCACUGUAUUAGCCAGGAUGGUCUCAAUCUCCUGACCUCGUGAUCCACCAUCUCGGCCUCCCAAAGUGUUAGUAUUACAGGUAUGAGCCACUGCGCCCAGCCUCAUUGGUUAAAUUUAUUCCUAGGUUUGUUUUUUGGUUUUGGUAGCUAUUGUAAAUGGAAUUGCUUUCCUGGUUUUUUUUGGUAGUUUGGUAUGUAGAAAUGUUACUGGGUUUUGUAUGUUAAUUUUGUAUCCUGCAACUUUACUGAAUUUGUUUGUUCUAAGAAUGUUUUGAUAAAGCUUUUAGGGUUUUCUAUAUAUAAGAUCACGUUGAAUGCAAACAAGGACCAUUUGGCUUCCUCAUUUGGAAGGAAGUAUUUGGAUGCUCUUUACGUCUUUCUCUUACCAGGCUGCUCUGGCUAGAACUUCUGCAGUGCAGCUUUGAGAAGGCUGAGGUGUUGGGUCUGGGGCAUGGUAGAGAGAUCCAUGUAACAGGAAGAAAGUGGCAACCCAGGUCCAUGCCUGAGUCUCCUGGUGAGACACGGAAUCCCCCCAGCAGACUGAAGUGACCAGAAAUGCCCCGAAAGAGGAUGGCACUGCCCUUGCUUCCAGGCUGCAGUCUGCACCUGGCUGAGCUUUACUGUCCGUCUCUCUCCCACCCUGUCUCAGCCUUUGCUUCCAUUCUGCAGUCUGCACCUGGCUGAGCUUUACUGUCCGUGUCUCUCCCACCCUGUCUCAGCCUUUGCUUCCAUUCUGCAGUCUGCACCUGGCUGAGCUUUAUUGUCCCUGUCUCUCCCACCCUGUCUCAGCCUUUGCUUCCAGGCUGCAGUCUGCACCUGGCUGAGCUUUACUGUCCGUGUCUCUCCCACCCUGUCUCAGCCUUUGCUUCCAUUCUGCAGUCUGCACCUGGCUGAGCUUUAUUGUCCCUGUCUCUCCCACCCUGUCUCAGCCUUUGCUUCCAUUCUGCAGUCUGCACCUGGCUGAGCUUUACUGUCAGUGUCUCUCCCACCCUGUCUCAGCCUUUGCUUCCAGGCUGCAGUCUGCACCUGGCUGAGCUUUACUGUCGGUGUCUCUCCCACCCUGUCUCAGCCUUUGCUUCCAUUCUGCAGUCUGCACCUGGCUGAGCUUUACUGUCGGUGUCUCUCCCACUCUGUCUCAGCCUUUGCUUCCAUUCUGCAGUCUGCACCUGGCUGAGCUUUACUGUCCGUGUCUCUCCCACCCUGUCUCAGCCUUUGCUUCCAGGCUGCAGUCUGCACCUGGCUGAGCUUUACUGUCCGUGUCUCUCCCACCCUGUCUCAGCCUUUGCUUCCAUUCUGCAGUCUGCACCUGGCUGAGCUUUACUGUCCGUGUCUCUCCCACCCUGUCUCAGCCUUUGCUUCCAGGCUGCAGUCUGCACCUGGCUGAGCGUACUGUCCGUGUCUCUCCCACCCUGUCUCAGCCUUUGCUUCCACGCUGCAGUCUGCACCUGGCUGAGCUUUACUGUCGGUGUCUCUCCCACUCUGUCUCAGCCUUUGCUUCCAUUCUGCAGUCUGCACCUGGCUGAGCUUUACUGUCCGUGUCUCUCCCACCCUGUCUCAGCCUUUGCUUCCAGGCUGCAGUCUGCACCUGGCUGAGCUUUACUGUCGGUGUCUCUCCCACCCUGUCUCAGCCUUUGCUUCCAGGCUGCAGUCUGCACCUGGCUGAGCUUUACUGUCGGUGUCUCUCCCACCCUGUCUCAGCCUUUGCUUCCAGGCUGCAGUCUGCACCUGGCUGAGCUUUACUGUCGGUGUCUCUCCCACCCUGUCUCAGGCGCUGCACAGUAGAGGUUCAGAAGCUGAUUGGACCUGAGCUGGUACCGGGACUGGGAACAAAAAGAGACAGAAACUUGUGAACAUGACCCAGCAAUAAGGGGUUGGGGAAGGUGAGCAGGGACUCCAGGUUCUGUGAACAGGGUCCACAGAGUAAGUGGAUCGUGUCCAAGAUGAGUCAGAAUGUCUUUAGAUGAACCUAUCCUGGAUGCUUUGCAAAUAGCUAGGGAGAGCAACAGAAGCUACAAGUGAGUCUGGUUAUGACACAGGACUC